rnacentral:lncRNA from 1 species
CUUGAUCUGGAUCCCCAACCCCUAGACCUUGAUCUGGAUCCCCAACCCCUAGAUCUUGACCUGGAUCCCCAACACCUAGACCUUGACCUGGAUCCCCAACCCCUAGACCUUGACCUGGAUCCCCAACCCCUGGACCUUGGCCUGGACACCCGACUCCUGGACCUUGCCCUGGAUCCCCGACCCCUAGACCUUGGCCUGGAUCCCCGACCCCUAGACCUUGGCCUGGAUCCCCGACCCCUAGACCUUGGCCUGGAUCCCCUAGACCUUGGCCUGGACCCCUGACCCCUAGACCCUGGAUAUGACUACUCAUGGCUUAACAUAGGCCACUCUAACCUCACUCCUCUGUCCUCAACUCGGAUAUGUAAUGUUAUCUCUGGACUUGCACAUUUACUGUAGUACUAGCUACAGGUUAUAGCUAGAUCAACACAUUUAGCAGCUACAGGUUAUAGCUAGAUCAACACAUUUAGCAGCUACAGGUUAUAGCUAGAUCAACACAUUUAGCAGCUACAGGUUACAGCUAGAUCAACACAUUUAGCAGCUACAGGUUAUAGCUAGAUCAACACAUUUAGCAGCUACAGGUUUCAGCUAGAUCAACACAUUUAGCAGCUACAGGUUACUGCUAGAUCAACACAUUUAGCAGCUACAGGUUAUAGUUAGAUCAACACAUUUAGCAGCUACAGGUUACUGCUAGAUCAACACAUUUAGAAGCUACAGGUUAUAGUUAGAUCAACACAUUUAGCAGCUACAGGUUAUAGCUAGAUCAACACAUUUAGCAGCUACAGGUUUCAGCUAGAUCAACACAUUUAGCAGCUACAGGUUAUAGCUAGCACUACUACUACCAACCUUGAGUUGUGGUUUGCUUUUGGACAAAAAAACACCACAAUCUGAAGUCUUGUUUUAAUGAAAUUUCUCUGAUUAACUUUAGGUCAAUUUAACUGACUUUUAAAAACUAUUUUUUGAAACCUGUGUUCUAAACAUGAAGUAAUGUCAUUACAUUUAGCUGAUCUUAGCCUAUUGUACAGCUCUGUUUUAAUGUGUUAUAACAUCACGUCAGUGUUAGUAUCCAUGUCAACAUCGGGACAUUCAACCUCCUGUCCAAUGAGAACUGUCGUGACAUGAUGAUUAUGGUUCAGAGUUCUUCAGUUUGUGUUGCAUUAUGGAAGAAAACAUGAGGUACAUGCGGAGAGGAUUGAAAACCUAUGGGUUCUCUUUUGGUACUUGUCUCUCAGUUGUAAAGUGUCAUUUAUUGAUUGAAUGUGUUGGAGACUGAAUUGUAUUGUCAUUGACUCACAUCAGCCGGGA